UGGGGAAUUGUUCGCAAUGGGCGCAAGCCUGACGACGCAACGCCGCGUGGAGGAUGAAGGUCUUCGGAUUGUAAACUCCUGUUGAUCGGGAAGAAUAGACCUCGGAUGAAUACUCCGGGGUAAUGACGGUACCGAUUAAGGAAGCCACGGCUAACUCUGUGCCAGCAGCCGCGGUAAUACAGAGGUGGCAAGCGUUGUUCGGAAUUACUGGGCGUAAAGGGCGCGUAGGUGGCCUUGUUAGUCAGACGUGAAAUCCCCAAGCUUAACUUGGGAACUGCGUCUGAUACUGCAAGGCUUGAGUUCGGGAGAGGGAUGUGGAAUUCCAGGUGUAGCGGUGAAAUGCGUAGAUAUCUGGAGGAACACCGGUGGCGAAGGCGGCAUCCUGGACCGAAACUGACACUGAGGCGCGAAAGCUAGGGGAGCAAACGG
rnacentral:rRNA from 1 species